AAAGAAGAGUGGGACUUAAGCCCAAGAUCUACGGUCCGUCUAUUGACCACGGAAUACGAAGGGGCACCGGUCAAGUGACCGUUUGGCCUCCCACACGCGGCAAAUGCAUGUGCUACCUUGGGACUCACCAAUUCUUAAAAGUCCAUUCAAAUUAAUUAUAGUCAUUAAAUGAUGCUCAAACGGUAAAAUGUUAAUACAUAGAUAAACCAGAUAACAUGCAAGCCAAAACAAUCGCUUCAUAUCUCUCAUUCGUUUCUUCUUCCUUCCAACCAUGAAUACCACCAAAUGAGACAGCCUUCCCUGAACCAUCAUCCUGGAUCUAUGAAUGGAAUCUCCGAGAUCUCAGCAUAUCCAAAAUCCGUCCUAAACCUAAAACCUAAAUCGGAAAAAACAAAAAAACUAUCCCUACACUACAGAUUCAAUCAUAUGCAAACGAAACCUAACGAUUCACUAGUAACCAAAACAAGUAAACAAAUCUCAACAGUAUGGUAAAAGGCACACACAACAUUUAUACAAAGAGAUAUGCAGAUUAAUGCAGAAUGGGGCAAUAUAAAGCUCGCCGAAAAACAGAGUUUCUGACGAGCGUACCGGCGAUGUGACCCAACCUCAAGAGUAACAACAGGGUUUUUUCGUAUCCCUUUUUUACACUGACUUGAACGCUACUUAUACCAGGAGAUUGUGGUCCUUCAUCCAUGUGUCAUCAAUGAGCUGGAAAAUCUUGCAUCAAAUCAAAUUGUUAGAUGGAAUUUUCACAAGAUUUUGUGGGGACCAAAGAUAUGCAUCAAAACAACAGGGUUUUUUCGUAUCCUUUUUUACACUGACUUGAACGCUACUUAUACCAGGAGAUUGUGGUCCUUCAUCCAGGUGUCAUCAAUGAGCUGGAAAAUCUUGCAUCAAAUCAAAUUGUUAGAUGGAAUUUUCACAAGAUUUUGUGGGGACCAAAGAUAUGCGUCUCUGAAUUUUGUUGUGAGUCAUUGCUUAUUUUGUCUGUAGGAAAAUGUGUGGAUUGAUUUUAAACUUGGGUGGUCCCCCUCUUUGGUAUGACAUCAUCAUUCGAAUUUAUCCUUUGUAUGUGAGUAUUUGAUGGAUUUGUUUAUGUGUUUUUAUUAUGUUCACACGUCCUGAUUCGUAACUGGUUUAUCUGCAGGCUGGUUUUGGUAGACUGAUAUGAUAGAGUGUCUCUUAGUAUGCAAUUCAUGAUUUUAUUGCAGGAAGGUUCUCCAACAGGUGUAUUGCACUAUGGUUAUGUUGCGCAUCACUCAUGGUUUCUGUCUAACUUAGGUGUCUGCCUAUUCAAAUUAUGUUGGUUUAAUAUUGAUGUGGGACGUUUACUGUGCCGUCUUUUAGACCAUGGUUUUGUGAUAAGCAAACCAAGUUGUUAUUUUUUGGGUCGUUUUGUUUAUGUUUCAGGUAUGGAUCAUUGGACAUGUUUCUUUUGACCAAGGCUUUAAACAAUGUUCAACUUGUGUCCUACAGGUCUAGCAGGUUUUGCAGCAGGUUCUAGUUCCCAUUCCAAGUUUGGUUCAGUAGUGUUUAUGCAUUGGGGUUUUCUUGGCAUGUAUGUAGAAAUUACAGUAAGAGAAUUAAAUCUUGUAUGUUUUUACACUUGUAUGUACGUCUAUGUUGGAUCUGCAGCAGGUAUGUUAUGAGCAAAGAGCGGGAUUCCGAGUAAUGUCUUUUUGUGUGCUACAUGCCUCAUGUGGAUGGUUUGUAGUAGGGGUUGGUCGCAUUCACCCUGACCUUGGUCUAAGUAGCAUGUUCAUGUUUUAAAUUCAUGUUAUGCAUUUAUGGAUUGUGCUACACUUUAGCCUUAUGGUUCCUAUGUAUUGAUUGUGACUCAGAAUGCAUUGUAGCUAGGAUUUCAUCUAUAUGUAUCAUGACAUUGCCAUUCCAAAUUUUUUCCUGCUCUGCUCAUGGUUUAACUUUCUUCCAGGUUAUAUACAUGAUGUUUAGACAAUCAUGGCGCCAAGAUCAGAAUUCGAAGCAUGUAUCUACCAAUGGCCCAACAUAAUGGAUCUUGAAGAUAUGAUUGGGAUGGAGAAUUUGGGAUGAAAAGGGGUUGCAACAAUACCAAAUUUCUUAGUUUUCAAAUACUAGGCAUUUUAUGGUUUGUAAUGAUUGAUGUUAUGCUUGCUGGUUCUGUUAUGUAGGAUCCACUGACUCGCCGAAUAUGUUGUGCAUUAAGUUAUGGUUAAUGUGAUUUGCUCAUGAUGAAUGACUUGAAAUGGCGUGCUAGGCUAUGUUCAUGUUUUCUACCACCCUGUCAUGGACAUGGCUUCUGACUUCUUAGAAUGACUUGAAGAAGAGAGUGCAGGGAGGUGUCAUGGUUAGAUGACAUGCUGUUUCAAGCUUGAAUAUUCGCUCUUGACAUGUAAUCACGUCCUCGGAUCAUAGGCUAGAACUUGUGUAAUCCAUGAAGUUUAUCAAGACAAUUGUAAAUUUAUGCCCUAUCAAUAGAAUUUAGAAACAUCAUGCCCAUGUGAAAAAAAGGUUUUAUAAAUCCAAGUUAAUGAUCUAAGAUCAAAUGA